UACAGAGGGUGCGAGCGUUGUCCGGAAUCAUUGGGCGUAAAGCGCGUGUAGGCGGUCCGGUAAGUCGGCUGUGAAAGUCCAGGGCUCAACCCUGGGAUGCCGGUCGAUACUGCCGGACUAGAGUUCGGAAGAGGCGAGUGGAAUUCCCGGUGUAGCGGUGAAAUGCGCAGAUAUCGGGAGGAACACCAAUGGCGAAGGCAGCUCGCUGGGACGUUACUGACGCUGAGACGCGAAAGCGUGGGGAGCAAACAGG
rnacentral:rRNA from 1 species